GCGGGUGUAGCUCAAUGGUAGAGCGCCAGCCUUCCAAGCUGGAUACGAGGGUUCGAUUCCCUUCACCCGCUCCA
rnacentral:tRNA from 3 species